rnacentral:rRNA from 1 species
CGAGAGUGAUUCCGUAAGUAGUGGCGAGCGAAAGCGGAGGAGCCCAAACCGGGGGGACUUGUCUCCCCGGGGUAGCGGGACCCCGACGUGGGAGGGGAGUUGGUUAGUGGAACGGCAUGGAAAGGCCGGCCAAAGACCGUGAGAGCCGGGUACGCGACAACGAACGCCCCCCCUAGGGGAAUCCCAAGUAGCACGGUGCACGUGAAACUCUGUGCGAAUCAGUCCGGACCACCGGAUAAGGCUAAAUACUCCUUGGCGACCGAUAGUGAACCAGUACCGAGAGGGAAAGGUGAAAAGCACCCCUGCUAGGGGAGUGAAAUAGUACCUGCAACCGUCUGCAUACAAUGUGUCGGAGCCGAUCGCAAGAUCGGUGACGGCCUGCCUUUUGCAUAAUGAGUCUGCGAGUUAUUGUCCGGGGCGAUCUAGCCUAAGGCCCGGUUUGGGCCGGAGGCGAAGGGAAACCGAGUGUGAAUAGCGCGAAAACAAGUCGCGGGCAAUAGACCCGAAGCGGAGGUGAUCUACUCUUGAGCAGGUUGAAACCGCGGUAAAACGCGGUGGAGGACCGAACUCGUGGAUGUUGAAAAAUCCUGAGAUGACUUGAGAGUAGGAGCGAAAGACUAAUCAAACCCCGUGAUAGCUGGUUCUCUCCGAAAUCGCUUGAGGGCGAGCGUCGGGACAGUACUCUCUGGAGGUAGAGCACUGAAUGGCUUAGGGGCCCCACCAGGCCACCAAAACCAAUCAAACUCCGAAUACCAGAGAAUCCAGUAACCCGGCAGUCAGGCGGCGGGCGAUAAGGUUCGUCGCCGAGAGGGCAACAGCCCAGACCGCCGGCUAAGGUGCCUAAAUGCCGUUAAGUGGAAAGGAUGUGACGUUGCUCAGACAAUGAGGAUGUUGGCUUAGAGGCAGCCACCAUUUAAACAGUGCGUAAUAGCUGACUCAUCGAGCGAUGUCGCGCCGAAAAUGAUUGGCGAUCAAACGGCAUACCGAAGCCGCGGAGGGCCGCCCGGAUUCGUCCGGGGGCCGUGGUAGGAGAGCGUGGCCAGGGCGGUGAAGCUCUAGGGAAACCGACAGUGGAGCGCUGGCCAGUGAGAAUGCAGACACGAGUAGCGAUAAAGCGGGUGAGAAUCCCGCUCGCCGUAAACCCAAGGGUUCCUGGGCCAGGUUCGUCCUCCCAGGGUUAGCCGGGAGCUAAGAUGAGGCCGGAAGGCGUAAUCGAUGCCCAGCAGGUUAAAUAUUCCUGCGCCGGCUGGGGUUAAGACCGCGAAGGUGACGCGUUGGGAGACGUGGAUUAGGCAAUCGAAUGCUGAGCUUAGGCCUUUGGCCGAAGCGCGUCCGCGGGUCCCGGCGCCGAGAAAAGCCGGCGGUUGUUCCCCCAGUCGCCCGUACCGCAAACCGACACAGGUGGGUGAGUGUAAGCGCACUCAGGCGCGCGAGAGAAACCUCUCUAAGGAACUCGGCACAUUAGCCCCGUAACUUCGGGAAAAGGGGUGCUCCCGGCUCCGGCAGCGAUGUUGGAGUUUGGGAGCCACAGUAAAUUGCGCUUAACGACUGUUUAACAAAAACACAGCACUCUGCCAAGUCGUCAAGACGACGUAUAGGGUGUGACACGUGACCAAUGCGGAAAGAUGAAAACGUUCUGUUAGCCGCAAGGCGAAGCUCGGCGUCCAAGUCCCCGUGAAUGUCGGCCGUAACUAUAACGGUCCUAAGGUAGCGAAAUUCCUUGUC